rfam:Clostridium asparagiforme DSM 15981 genomic scaffold Scfld6, whole genome shotgun sequence.
UCAUAGAGUAGAGGUUGCGUCAAUCAUCAGUAACAAGCCGGAUGUGGCAGGCACAGAAGAAGGUUUGGGAAAGGGAACGACGCCGAAGAGAGGAUGCGCCUGCGCGGCAUGCUGCUCUGGGGAUAUGGCGAACAGCCAUAUAACUGUCAUCCCGAGCGGAUGGUGAGCUACCUGAAAG